GACGAACGCUGGCGGCGUGCUUAACACAUGCAAGUCGAACGGAAAGGCCCUGCUUUUGUGGGGUGCUCGAGUGGCGAACGGGUGAGUAACACGUGAGUAACCUGCCCUUGACUUUGGGAUAACUUCAGGAAACUGGGGCUAAUACCGGAUAGGAGCUCCUGCUGCAUGGUGGGGGUUGGAAAGUUUCGGCGGUUGGGGAUGGACUCGCGGCUUAUCAGCUUGUUGGUGGGGUAGUGGCUUACCAAGGCUUUGACGGGUAGCCGGCCUGAGAGGGUGACCGGCCACAUUGGGACUGAGAUACGGCCCAGACUCCUACGGGAGGGAGCAGUGGGGAAGAGUGCACAAUGGGCGGAAGCCUGAUGCAGCAACGCCGCGUGCGGGAUGACGGCCUUCGGGUUGUAAACCGCUUUCGCCUGUGACGAAGCGUGAGUGACGGUAAUGGGUAAAGAAGCACCGGCUAACUACGUG
rnacentral:rRNA from 1 species